ACGUUCGCGGCGGACGGGUGAGUAACACGUGGGCAACCUACCCUAUAGUUUGGGAUAACUCCGGGAAACCGGGGCUAAUACCGAAUAAUCUCUUUUACUUCAUGGUGAAAGACUGAAAGACGGCAUCUCGCUGUCGCUAUAGGAUGGGCCCGCGGCGCAUUAGCUAGUUGGUGAGGUAACGGCUCACCAAGGCGACGAUGCGUAGCCGACCUGAGAGGGUGAUCGGCCACACUGGGACUGCCUGAUGGAGCAACGCCGCGUGAGUGAAGAAGGUUUUCGGAUCGUAAAACUCUGUUGUAAGGGAAGAACAAGUACAGUAGUAACUGGCUGUACCUUGACGGUACCUUAUUAGAAAGCCACGGCUAACUACGUGCCAGCAGCCGCGGUAAUACGUAGGUGGCAAGCGUUGUCCGGAAUUAUUGGGCGUAAAGCGCGCGCAGGCGGUCCUUUAAGUCUGAUGUGAAAGCCCACGGCUCAACCGUGGAGGGUCAUUGGAAACUGGGGGACUUGAGUGCAGAAGAGGAAAGUGGAAUUCCAAGUGUAGCGGUGAAAUGCGUAGAGAUUUGGAGGAACACCAGUGGCGAAGGCGACUUUCUGGUCUGUAACUGACGCUGAGGCGCGAAAGCGUGGGGAGCAAACAGGAUUAGAUACCCUGGUAGUCCACCCCGUAAACGAUGAGUGUUAAGUGUUAGGGGGUUUCCCCCCUUUAGUGCUGCAGUUAACGCAUUAAGCUCUCCCCCUGGGGAGUACGGUCGCAAGACUAAAACUCAAAGGAAUUGAGGGGGGCCCGCACAAGCGGUGGAGCAUGUGGUUUAAUUGGAAGCAACGCGAAGAACCUUACCAGGUCUUGACAUCCCGUUGACCACUGUAGAGAUAUAGUUUCCCCUUCGGGGGCAACGGUGACAGGUGGUGCAUGGUUGUCGUCAGCUCGUGUCGUGAGAUGUUGGGUUAAGUCCCGCAACGAGCGCAACCCUUGAUCUUAGUUGCCAUCAUUUAGUUGGGCACUCUAAGGUGACUGCCGGUGACAAACCGGAGGAAGGUGGGGAUGACGUCAAAUCAUCAUGCCCCUUAUGACCUGGGCUACACACGUGCUACAAUGGACGAUACAAACGGUUGCCAACUCGCGAGAGGGAGCUAAUCCGAUAAAGUCGUUCUCAGUUCGGAUUGUAGGCUGCAACUCGCCUACAUGAAGCCGGAAUCGCUAGUAAUCGCGGAUCAGCAUGCCGCGGUGAAUACGUUCCCGGGCCUUGUACACACCGCCCGUCACACCACGAGAGUUUGU
rnacentral:rRNA from 1 species